rnacentral:rRNA from 1 species
UGAGGAAUAUUGGUCAAUGGGCGCAAGCCUGAACCAGCCAUGCCGCGUGAAGGAAGACGGCCCUACGGGUUGUAAACUUCUUUUGUACGGGAAAAAACCACCGGUCGUGAACCGGUGCUGAUGGUACCGUAAGAAUAAGCAUCGGCUAACUCCGUGCCAGCAGCCGCGGUAAUACGGAGGAUGCAAGCGUUAUCCGGAUUCAUUGGGUUUAAAGGGUGCGCAGGCGGAAUGAUAAGUCAGUGGUGAAAUCCUACGGCUGAACUGUAGAACUGCCAUUGAUACUGUUGUUCUUGAGUACACUUGGAGUGGGCGGAAUGUGUCAUGUAGCGGUGAAAUGCUUAGAUAUGACACAGAACACCGAUCGCGAAGGCAGCUCACUAAGUUGUAACUGACGCUCAGGUACGAAAGCGUGGGGAUCAAACA